GAAUUAUAUAACAGGAACCUCAAGUAAAACCUUCAAAAUGCGCUGCUGACUUGGGAAUUUAUCUCUUAUUUUCAAAGGCUAUUUAAAGCCAGAUUCUGGAAAAUACAGCUAGUGCAGCAGAAAUGCUGUCACAUCCUGAAGCAGUGAUUGAGCACCUGGUGGGAUGUCAGGGCCUACCCAGGGAAGCUCAGGUGCAUGCAAUGCAAUGCAAUGCAAUGCAAUGCAGCUGUGUGACCGGAAGGGAUGGAGCCAGGAUCCACCCCUUCCCAGCUCUCAUUUAAGGGCUGGCAGUGGAGGUGAGAGUAUCUGUCUGGAGAUCUCUGUCUUCCUGAGGCCUUUUGAAGGAAAAUGAUCAUCAGAAUGAGAAUUGUUAACUGAUUAGAUUAUUGUUGGCAUUCAGUACAAGAACACAGCCAAGAGCUCAAGGGUAAGUAUUAUUGUCAUCUAGUGAUGAAGCUAAGAAAGGAUUCUGCACCCAAUUCCCUGUACAUUAAUGAUCUGAAGAUAUUUGGGCUGGGUUGCAUUGUUUUCCCCUUUCUUUCAAAGUGAGCCACAGAGCUCUCUGCUGCCAGGAAGUGUUAUUUAAGAAUAUGAGUUUCUUUUGUAAAGGGAAAAGCAUAAUUAGAUGUUAAGAGCUGAUUAUUGUAUUGUUCUCCACAGAGUUUUGCAAGAGGAACUACCUUUGAAGAAAGAAGGGAAAGUAUGUACUGUGCUUGGAAAGUGAGAGGUAUCUGGCUUCAAUAUUCUUUGUCUCCAUAUCUGAAAGCUUUUCACAAGAGAUGAGAAGUAAACCAACUUUCCACUGCACUCCACCAAUACAGCUAUUGCUGCAAGCAGCCCCACUUAUUUACAGUGCCUGUUGGUGGAACCUGGCACUAGAGUUUGCACUCAGAGCACCAACAAGAUCUCCCAUCUCUUCAAAAAGAACCACUUAAAACAGAAAACUAUGGGUUUUUUUGUUUGUUUGGUUUCUUUUUAAAGAGCUCCUUGAAACAAGCCAAACUUGCAUCUGCACACUUCUUUUUACUGCUCCAUCCCCAGGGAGCAUUUGUACCUCAUUCUCCUCCCUUAGGACUCGAAAUCAAAAUAUUUCUUUUCUGUCAGGCAGCUCACACUGAGAAUUCUGUAAGCUGUAAGCACGGACGAGUAUAUAUUUAGCUUAUCCAAACUCAGUAAGAGACUAAGUGUAGGAGAUAGCUUAGGUAUGGGGCCACGUUGCACCUAGGAGACACCUGGGCUAUAAGCAGCAUCCACCAAGUACUUCUCUAUUUUGUGCCAUACCACAAAGGACAUACACUGUUCCAGUUUCUAUCCCCCCAGUAUAUAUUGAAAUAAAGUUGUCAAACCUCUUGUCCUCUGGAGGCUCCUGGAACAGCUCAGAGCAGAUUGGUCAACCACCACAGGCCUUCAGCUGCUGCCAGCUUCCAUUUGUUUUUCAGCAGCACCUGUGAGAGAAUACACAACUGAUGUGAGCACUCACUUCUUUAUUACUCUUCUCACCAAGUGAGAAGUGCUUCAGCCCUGCUUAACACCUCCUCAGAGCUCUUCCUGCUG
ensembl:lncRNA